GCUUUUUUUUUAUGGAUGUUUAUGUUGAAUAUUAAUCUGAUAUGUGGAUGUUGUUUUUGUUUUGCGGAUAUAUUGGCGAUUGGUUCUCUCAUUUGAAAACUGCUCGGCUCUCUUGACAUGGUUUCUUUCAUGUUGUUUGCAUGAACUUUAGAGAAUGGAAUUAGUGUUCUUAUUUUCCAAAUUCAUACAUCUUUUUUUAUGAAAUAGCAAUGCUGAACCCAAAGAUGAAGACCUUGGAUUUGUGUAUGAACCCAUAGUGAAGGAAGCAACUAGCAAACACAAGUUUGUAGCUGAAAAAGGUUAAUAAUGUGUCUCCAAUAGCCGUUUGAGCAGGACAUCACCUAAGAGGUUGUAUGGAAAUACCCUGUGGAGUAGCCCCAAACAGUCAUUUGCUUAGUCCGACUCUCCCACAAAAGGUGUACCUUUCAGGCAGACAUUGUAGAACGAAUACAUAUUUUUGCAUAUGCUCAACACUACAUGAGACUUCUCCAAACUACUUUCUCUUGAGAACAUGACGGCUGUAAACAGACCAAAUUGAAAGUGCUAAUACUUUAAUGGGUUUUAUGGAGUUCGAAAACAUGGACAAGAUCUGAAUUAUGUAAAAAGCGCGCACCAGAUUUCGUCUCGCUUGUUCAUUUUUCUCCAUGUGUCUUCUCCACUGCUAUUCAACUUGCUAGCAUGGGUAAACAUAGUAGUGACAAAUCUGUUCGUUGUUUAUCCUCAUGUUGUCUUUUAGUGAACCCUACUCAAAUCCUGCAUAAAAAUUUAUGGCUGAAAAAUAAGCACUCGACUAGACCUCAAAGUUAAGGUUUUUUCAUACAUGAUGGUAUCAACAAAACGUGAAG